CGAACGCAGCCGUACACAUGCAAGUCGAGCGGUAACAGAUCUAGCUUGCUAGAUGCUGACGAGCGGCGGACGGGUGAGUAAUGCAUAGGAAUCUGCCCGGUAGUGGGGGAUAACCUGGGGAAACCCAGGCUAAUACCGCAUACGUCCUACGGGAGAAAGGGGGCUCCGGCUCCCGCUAUUGGAUGAGCCUAUGUCGGAUUAGCUAGUUGGUGAGGUAAUGGCUCACCAAGGCAACGAUCCGUAGCUGGUCUGAGAGGAUGAUCAGCCACAUCGGGACUGAGACACGGCCCGAACUCCUACGGGAGGCAGCAGUGGGGAAUAUUGGACAAUGGGGGCAACCCUGAUCCAGCCAUGCCGCGUGUGUGAAGAAGGCCCUCGGGUUGUAAAGCACUUUCAGCGAGGAAGAACGCCUAGUGGUUAAUACCCAUUAGGAAAGACAUCACUCGCAGAAGAAGCACCGGCUAACUCCGUGCCAGCAGCCGCGGUAAUACGGAGGGUGCAAGCGUUAAUCGGAAUUACUGGGCGUAAAGCGCGCGUAGGUGGCUUGAUAAGCCGGUUGUGAAAGCCCCGGGCUCAACCUGGGAACGGCAUCCGGAACUGUCAGGCUAGAGU
rnacentral:rRNA from 1 species